rnacentral:rRNA from 1 species
GAUGAACGCUGGCGGCGUGCCUAACACAUGCAAGUCGAACGGAAAGGCCCUGCUUUUGUGGGGUGCUCGAGUGGCGAACGGGUGAGUAACACGUGAGUAUCCUGCACUUGACUUUGGGAUAACUUCAGGAAAAUGGGGCUCAUACAGGAUAGGAGCUCCUGCUGCAUGGUGGGGGUUGGAAAGUUUCGGUGGUUGGGGAUAGACUGGAUGCUUAUCAGCUUGUUGGUGAGGUUGUGGAUUACAAAGGCUUUGACGGGUAGCCGGCCUUGGAGGGUAGCCGGCGUCAAGGGUACUGAGAGACGGAGCAGACGCCUACGUUAGGCAGCAGGGGGGAGCAUGGCGCAAUAGGCGGGAGCGAGAGGCAACGACGCCGCGUGCGGGAUGACGGCCUACUAGUGGAGAACCGCUUUCGCCGGUGACAUAGCGGUAUUGACGGUAAUUAGUAAGAAAGCACCGGCUAACUACGUG